CAAUAGCGUAUAUUAAAGUUGUUGCAGUUAAAAAGCUCGCAGUUGGAUUUCUGGUAGGAGCGACCGUGCCGAACUUGAUUGUUCGAGUAUUGUGUUGUCUUCAGCCAUCCUCGUGGAGAACUUUUCUAACAUUAACUUGUUGGGAUUGGGACCCGCGUCGUUUACUGUGAAAAAAUUAGAGUGUUUAAAGCAGGCAUUAGCUUGAAUACAUUAGCAUGGAAUAAUAAGAUAGGACUUUGGUACUAUUUUGUUGGUUUGCAUACCAAAUUAAUGAUCAACAGGAACAGUUUGAGGAUAUUCGUAUGAACAUGUCAGAGGUGAAAUUCUUGGAUUUUGAUCAGACGAACUACUGCGAAAGCAUUUAUCAAGGAUGUUUUCAUUAA
rnacentral:rRNA from 1 species